rnacentral:rRNA from 1 species
UCUAUAAGCCAUAUCACACUGAACACGCCCGAUCUUGUCUGAUCUUGGAAGCCAGGCAGGCUCGGGCCUGGUUAGUUAGUACUUGGAUGGGAGGAAUUUAGCUAUUUAUUGAA